rnacentral:rRNA from 1 species
GAUGAACGCUGGCGGCGUGCCUAAUACAUGCAAGUCGAGCGAACGGACGAGAAGCUUGCUUCCCUGAUGUUAGCGGCGGACGGGUGAGUAACACGUGGAUAACCUACCUAUAAGACUGGGAUAACUUCGGGAAACCGGAGCUAAUACCGGAUAAUAUUUUGAACCGCAUGGUUCAAAAGUGAAAGACGGUCUUGCUGUCACUUAUAGAUGGAUCCGCGCUGCAUUAGCUAGUUGGUAAGGUAACGGCUUACCAAGGCAACGAUGCAUAGCCGACCUGAGAGGGUGAUCGGCCACACUGGAACUGAGACACGGUCCAGACUCCUACGGGAGGCAGCAGUAGGGAAUCUUCCGCAAUGGGCGAAAGCCUGACGGAGCAACGCCGCGUGAGUGAUGAAGGUCUUCGGAUCGUAAAACUCUGUUAUUAGGGAAGAACAUAUGUGUAAGUAACUGUGCACAUCUUGACGGUACCUAAUCAGAAAGCCACGGCUAAGUACGUG